CUUGACACACAUAAGAGGUCCAGCCUGCCCAGUGACUAAGUUCAACGGCCGCGGUAUCCUAACCGUGCGAAGGUAGCGUAAUCACUUGUUCUUUAAAUGAGGACUAGUAUGAAUGGCACCACGAGGGUUAUACUGUCUCCUUUUUUUAAUCAAUGAAACUGAUCUCCCCGUGAAGAAGCGGGGAUAAAUCUAUAAGACGAGAAGACCCUAUGGAGCUUUAAACAAUUAUAGCACUGGCCCACACCUCUUAUUCUUCUGAGAUAUAACUAUUAUACAGGCCAACAUGACUAUUAGUUUUAGGUUGGGGUGACCGCGGAGCAAAAAUUAACCUCCACGUUGAACGGAGCUACUCCUGAGCUAAAAGCUACAACUUUAAGCACCAAUAAACUGACAUCAAUUGACCCAAUAUAUUGAACAACGAAC
rnacentral:rRNA from 1 species